rnacentral:lncRNA from 1 species
AUUUGACAAGUGUCAUAAUCUCAUUUUGUUUGAGGAGGAGCUCUUCCUUAGGUUUAAAAAGGAAUUCAAAAGCAUUCUAUUUGUUUUUUUUUAUAGAGAAAAUUGUAUUGCAUUCAAUCCAAAGAGAACAUUACAUGGUAAAAACGAGCAUGUUAACGGUGGUCUCGUUAAAACUUUUCCGAGAAAAACUACAAGGGAUAAA